AGCGAACGCUGGCGGCAGGCCUAACACAUGCAAGUCGAACGAACCUUUCGGGGUUAGUGGCGGACGGGUGAGUAACACGUGGGAACGUGCCUUUAGGUUCGGAAUAACUCAGGGAAACUUGUGCUAAUACCGAAUGUGCCCUUCGGGGGAAAGAUUAAUCGCCUUUAGAGCGGCCCGCGUCUGAUUAGCUAGUUGGUUGAGGUAAUGGCUCACCAAGGCGACGAUCAGUAGCUGGUCUGAGAGGAUGAUCAGCCACAUUGGGACUGAGACACGGCCCAGACUCCUACGGGAGGCAGCAGUGGGGAAUCUUGCGCAAUGGGCGAAAGCCUGAUGCAGCCAUGCCGCGUGAAUGAUGAAGGUCUUAGGAUUGUAAAAUUCUUUUACCGGGGACGAUAAUGACGGUACCCGGAGAAGAAGCCCCGGCUAACUUCGUG
rnacentral:rRNA from 1 species